UACGUAGGAGGCAAGCGUUAUCCGGAAUGACUGGGCGUAAAGGGUGCGUAGGUGGUUUGACAAGUUAGUAGCGUAAUUCCGGGGCUCAACUUCGGAACUACUACUAAAACUGUUGGGCUUGAGUGCAGGAGAGGUAAAUGGAAUUCCUAGUGUAGCGGUGGAAUGCGUAGAUAUUAGGAGGAACACCAGCGGCGAAAGCGAUUUACUGGACUGUAACUGACACUGAGGCACGAAAGCGUGGGGAGCAA
rnacentral:rRNA from 1 species